rnacentral:lncRNA from 1 species
AUGAAAAUAUUUUUCAUUGAGGUCUCACCUUGUUUCUUAUCUUUUAGAGAUGCAAGAUACUCUUUCAAGUUUCUCCUCCAAUGCCUUUUCUUUCUUGUAGAAAAAACAUUCAACUUCAUAUUGGUCAGCUUUUCCCUUACCUCUAGGUUUGGUCACACCACCCUUAGGUACAGUGGGCUUCUUAUUGGGUUUCUUCUUAGCCUUACACUUCUUAUUAGAAUAGUUGCCAACCAACAUAACAGUUCAUUUCUUCUUUUCAUAUGUAAUUUGAUUCCCGUAAUCAAUCAACAUAUUGAGUAUCUCAUGAAAAUCACAAUCCAUUUUAUUCAUGUUGAAAUUAAUAAUGAAUUAUGAAAAGGACUCAGAUAGUGACGUAAGAUCAAAUCUUGAGAAAGCUCUUUACCCAAUGUACACCCUAAAUUUUGAAGUUCUUCAAUAAAACCAAUCAUAUUGAAAACACGGGACCCAACUGGAGAUUUAGCAAUCAACUUAUAUCCAAACAGGGACUUAAAUAGCUAGUAUCUAGCUAUUAUGCUUUGUGCACCAUACAUCUUCUUAAGAUAUCAAUGAUUGCACGGGGAUCCAUAUCUUUAUGUUUCCUCUUGAGUUCAGAACUCAUAG